GCACGUGGGAGUUGGGUACUCUGUGGGGACCGCCGGUGUUAAAUCGGAGGAAGGUGCGGGCCACGGUAGGUCAGUAUGCCCCGAAUUUCCCGGGCUACACGCGGGCUACAAUGAAUGGGACAAUGGGUCCCUACCCUGAAAAGGGCUGGUAAUCUCACAAACCCAUCCGUAGUUCGGAUCGAGGGCUGUAACUCGCCCUCGUGAAGCUGGAAUCCGUAGUAAUCGCGUUUCAAUAUAGCGCGGUGAAUACGUCCCUGCUCCUUGCA
rnacentral:rRNA from 1 species